rnacentral:rRNA from 1 species
UACGAAGGGGGCUAGCGUUGCUCGGAAUCACUGGGCGUAAAGGGUGCGUAGGCGGGUCUUUAAGUCAGGGGUGAAAUCCUGGAGCUCAACUCCAGAACUGCCUUUGAUACUGAAGAUCUUGAGUUCGGGAGAGGUGAGUGGAACUGCGAGUGUAGAGGUGAAAUGCGUAGAUAUUGGGAGGAACACCAGUGGCGAAGGCGGCUCACUGGACCGGAACUGACGCUGAGGCGCGAAAGCGUGGGGAGCAAACGGG